rnacentral:rRNA from 1 species
GGCUAAGACAUGCAAGUCGUACGGGACUGGCCGUGGGUAACUGGCGGUCGGUUCAGUGGCGGACGGGAGCGUAAUGCAUGGGUAACGUAUCCUUGACACGGGAAUAACAGCGGACCGCAAGGUUCUUUAGCGAAAGUGCUGCUAAUGCCCGAUGAAGUCGCCGGGUCGCAUGGCCUGGCGUCCAAAGGGCGGGGACCGGGUAACCGGCCUGCCGGUCUUGGAGCGGCCCAUGUCCUAUCAGCUAGUUGGUGAGGUAAUGGCUCACCAAGGCUACGACGGGUAGCGGGCGUGAGAGCGUGGCCCGCCUCAUCGGGACUGAGACACUGCCCGGACACCUACGGGUGGCUGCAGUAACGAAUCUUGGGCAAUGGGCGCAAGCCUGACCCAGCAAUGCCGCGUGCAGGAGGAAGUCCUUCGGGAUGUAAACUGCUGUCAGGGGUUUCGCAAGCAAAGCGGGUGAAUAAUCCGCCGCGUUGAGCAGACCCAAAGGAAGCCUCGGCUAACUCUGUG